rnacentral:rRNA from 1 species
GCAUAUCAAUAAGCGGAGGAAAAGAAACUAACAAGGAUUCCCCUAGUAACUGCGAGUGAAGCGGGAAAAGCUCAAAUUUAAAAUCUGUCAGCCUUUGGCUGUCCGAGUUGUAAUCUAGAGAAGUGUUAUCCGCGCUGGACCGUGUACAAGUCUCCUGGAAUGGAGCGUCAUAGAGGGUGAGAAUCCCGUCUUUGACACGGACUGCCAGGGCUUUGUGAUGCGCUCUCAAAGAGUCGAGUUGUUUGGGAAUGCAGCUCAAAAUGGGUGGUAAAUUCCAUCUAAAGCUAAAUAUUGGCGAGAGACCGAUAGCGAACAAGUACCGUGAGGGAAAGAUGAAAAGAACUUUGGAAAGAGAGUUAAACAGUACGUGAAAUUGCUGAAAGGGAAACGCUUGAAGUCAGUCGCGUUGUCCAGGGAUCAACCUUGCUUUUGCUUGGUGUACUUUCUGGUUAACGGGUCAGCAUCAAUUUUGACUGUUGGAAAAAGAUCAGGGGAAUGUGGCAUCUUCGGAUGUGUUAUAGCCCUUGGUUGCAUACAAUGGUUGGGAUUGAGGAACUCAGCACGCCGCAAGGCCGGGUUUUAACCACGUACGUGCUUAGGAUGCUGGCAUAAUGGCUUUAAUCGACCCGUCUUGAAACACGGACCAAGGAGUCUAACAUGCCUGCGAGUGUUUGGGUGGAAAACCCGAGCGCGUAAUGAAAGUGAAAGUUGAGAUCCUUGUCAUGGGGAGCAUCGACGCCCGGACCAGACCUUUUGUGACGGUUCCGCGGUAGAGCAUGUAUGUUGGGACCCGAAAGAUGGUGAACUAUGCCUGAAUAGGGUGAAGCCAGAGGAAACUCUGGUGGAGGCUCGUAGCGAUUCUGACGUGCAAAUCGAUCGUCAAAUUUGGGUAUAGGGGCGAAAGACUAAUCGAACCAUCUAGUAGCUGGUUCC